rnacentral:rRNA from 1 species
UACAGAGGUCCCAAGCGUUGUUCGGAUUCAUUGGGCGUAAAGGGUGCGUAGGUGGGCAGGUAAGUCAGUGGUGAAAUCUCCGGGCUUAACUCGGAAACUGCCAUUGAUACUAUCUUUCUUGAAUACCGUGGAGGUCAGCGGAAUAUGUCAUGUAGCGGUGAAAUGCUUAGAUAUGACAUAGAACACCAAUUGCGAAGGCAGCUGGCUACACGAAUAUUGACACUGAUGCACGAAAGCGUGGGGAUCAAACAGG